GCCAGACUCCUACGGGAGGCAGCAGUGGGGGAUAUUGCACAAUGGGGGAAACCCUGAUGCAGCGACGCCGCGUGAGUGAAGAAGUAUUUCGGUAUGUAAAGCUCUCUCAGCAGGGACGAAAAUGACGGUACCUGAGUAAGAAGCCCCGGCUAACUACGUGCCAGCAGCCGCGGUAAUACGUAGGGGGCAAGCGUUAUCCGGAAUUACUGGGUGUAAAGGGAGCGUAGGCGGCAAGGUAAGUAAGAUGUGAAAGCCCGCAGCUUAACUGCGAGGAUUGCAUUUUAAACUAUCUAGCUUGAGUACAGGAGAGGUAAGCGGAAUUCCUAGUGUAGCGGUGAAAUGCGUAGAUAUUAGGAAGAACACCAGUGGCGAAGGCGGCUUACUGGACUGUAACUGACGCUGAGGCUCGAAAGCGUGGGGAGCGAACAGGAUUAGAUACCCUUGUACG
rnacentral:rRNA from 1 species